UAACACCGUGUCCUAAAUAGACGUGACACGCGGUAACGGGUUUCUUUUCAGUUUAUGUCCUGACUUUAAUAGGACGGGAUAUUAUAAAUUAUGCCUUUCGAUUAUCGCGACGCCUCGUCGCGUUUGGUUAAGCACAUGGUGGAACAGUAUGCACGUCACUGUACCUACUGUACACCUGUGAGCGGCAUAACGAGACAAAAGACGCUAUUCAUCUGGAAAAGAAAAGCUGGCACUCGCAAAGGAGAUUGUGUUGUUGGAUUAUGGUCUCAUUUGGUCAAAAUGAGGGACGUGUACUGAGCAUUUUUCUUUAUUUUUUCUUUAUUUUUUUUUUUUUGAUGGGCCAUCACACAGUGGAUUUAUAAAAAUGAGACUACAGAACAUCAGACGGAAGCUUCAAUGGAGUUGACGUGAGAGGACAUCAUCAAUAAAGAAUGCCAUUGACCAAACCUUCAGUCAUCAACGGAGAUGGAUACAGGUGGACAUCAAGUUUUCCAGACUUACCGAUAGGAAAGAAGACAUGUUUAUCAGGAAAUGGGAGGUGACAAUUAUUGAGAAACUCAGGGAAAUAGCAUCUUUAGAGAAGAAAAUGGACAUCAGACAUUCAUUGAAGAAAGCUGACAGUCAACAUAAUGAUCUUCUGCUGUGUGAAUUCUGUGUGAAGUCUCAGACCUGUGGGACUUGGUGGCGGCUGGUACCAGCGUGACCUCUUUGCUUACUAAAUGAUGAAAAGGUGUCUAAAAUCAGCUCAGCCACAGUUGGUUUCCAGCGGUUCUUCAGGACAUAGAGGCCACUACGUAAUUGUCGCAAUGAAUGAUUCUCUUGCCUUUCCACUUGAUGUUGACAAUCUGACCUGUGCGGUAGAAAGACUUUUCAAAUUUACUAGCUAAGUAACCUUAAGUAUCCCUGCCAACUGUCUUCAGUUUUUUUUUGUAUGAAUAUGAUCUACCCUUGUCCCAGUCCUCUUGCAAACGAUCCAAGCCAAUGGAGUUUCAAAAUGGACCGAAAAUUGCAGUCUGUUUUAACCAAUGCAUGCACUGUGUGGCGGUUUCCCGGACAGGGAUUAGACUAGUCCUAGACUAAAACAUUUUUAAGAGCUGUCCAAACUGAAAACAACUUGCACUGACAUAUCUUAAAAUACAUCAGUGCCCUUUGUUUAGCCUCAAAAUGCACACAGGUAAUGUUUUUAGUAAGGCAUGUUUGUUAAAACCAGAUAUAUUUCCUAAUUAAUCUAAGGCCUAGUCCUGGAUUAAGAUAAUCCCUGUCCGGGAAACCACCCCUAAAUAUUUUGUGAUGGAAAUUUCUUUGAAUACACUUUCAAGUUCAUUUGAAGUAUUUUUCUUAAUAUAAAAUAACGUGUUAAUGUUUCAGGACAAGGUAAGAAUUUUUGAUAACUUGCUUGUUGAAAACGAUUUCAGACAUUGUUUCAACAUGUUUAACACAUGUGCUUUUAAAUUCAAUGAAUUAUUUUAUAAAUGGUGUUUUUUUAUGUAUGAAUGUAAUGUAUGUUUGAAGUGAUUAUACUUGCACUUAAAUUUAUUUAAAUUAGCAUACAUCUUGCAACAUACAGUACUAGCAUAUUUUCAUGCUAGCAUUAAUUGUCAAAUAUUUAUUAUUUUACAAAUAAAUCGUUUGUGAACAAUA